AUGAAAGGUUUCUCCGAUAAAUGGCGCCACUGGAUCCAAAACUUUGUAACUGGCGGUAGUGUGGCCAUCGAAGUCAAUGAUGAUGUAGGUCAUUACUUUCAGACAAAAAAAGGACUAAAACAAGGUGACCCCAUAUCCCCAAUGUUAUUUAACAUUGUUGCUGACAUGUUGGCUAUUCUGAUUGAGCGCGCCAAGCAGGAUGGACAGAUUGCGGGAGUAGUGCCACACCUUGUGGAUGGUGGCCUCUCUAUUUUGCAAUAUGACGAUGACACAAUUCUUUUUAUGGAACAUGACCUGAACAAAGCUCGAAAUCUGAAACUCUUGUUUUCAAUGUUUGAGCAAAUGUCGGGCCUCAAAAUUAACUUACAUAGAAGUGAAUUGUUCUGCUUUAAGCCAUUGAGGCGGCGGCCGAUUAUGCUGACCUAUUUGGUUGCGCACUUAGCCAGUUCGCGAUAA
rnacentral:rRNA from 1 species